rnacentral:rRNA from 1 species
GUCUACGGCCACAGCACCCUGAGCAAGCCCGAUCCCGUCUGAUCUCGGAAGCUAAGCAGCAUCGGGCCUGGUUAGCACUUGGAUGGGAGACCACCUAAGAAGACCGGGUGCUGUAGGCA